CAGCCGCCGCGGGAAUACCGAGGGUGCGAGCGUUAAUCGGAAUUACUGGGCGUAAAGCGUGCGUAGGUGGUGGUUUAAGUCCGUUGUGAAAGCCCUGGGCUCAACCUGGGAAUUGCAGUGGAUACUGGGUCACUAGAGUGUGGUAGAGGAUAGUGGAAUUUCCGGUGUAGCAGUGAAAUGCGUAGAGAUCGGAAGGAACAUCUGUGGCGAAGGCGACUAUCUGGGCCAACACUGACACUGAGGCACGAAAGCGUGGGGAGCAAACAGGAUUAGAUACCCCAGUAGUCCCUGUCUCUUAUAC
rnacentral:rRNA from 1 species